ACGGGAGGCAGCAGUGAGGAAUAUUGGUCAAUGGACGGAAGUCUGAACCAGCCAUGCCGCGUGCAGGAAUAAGGCCCUAUGGGUCGUAAACUGCUUUUGUGGUGGAGCAAUAAGGCGUACGUGUACGUCGAUGAGAGUACAUCACGAAUAAGCAUCGGCUAACUCCGUGCCAGCAGCCGCGGUAAUACGGAGGAUGCAAGCGUUAUCCGGAUUUAUUGGGUUUAAAGGGUGCGUAGGCGGACUGUUAAGUCAGCGGUGAAAUACCACGGCUCAACCGUGGGGCUGCCGUUGAUACUGGCGGUCUGGAGUACGAUCGGCGCCGGCGGAAUGUGUCAUGUAGCGGUGAAAUGCAUAGAUAUGACACAGAACACCGAUCGCGAAGGCAGCUGGCGAGAACGAUACUGACGCUGAGGCACGAAGGUGCGGGGAUCAAACAGGAUUAGAUACCCUGGUA
rnacentral:rRNA from 1 species